AAGCUGGUCGAGUCUGGCCUUAACCGCUGGGAAAUCGGCGAGAUCGCGAGCCGAUCCAUUCUUGAGACGGCUCAUCCUCAGAUUCCAGAUUCAUCUUGCCGGUCCGUAUUAGACGCUUUCUGCCGUUCGGAAGAUCUUGAAUCUAGCCUGCCCCUCUGCUUUCCCGGCCUCCCGGGCUCCGUCUCGUCGGGGUCUGAACCCGUGAAAUCUGUUCUUCGCCGACUGGCCGGCCGACCACCUGGGAGUAACCGAAUGUUUCAGAUUCUGACAAGGACAUAGUCUGACAAGGACAUAAACUGAUAGUCGAAAUCUCCACACCGUACGAUUACAAAGCUAACCUUACAUCCCAGCCGUCCAUGAGUUGGUACACUUCCCUUGUUCGUCUUCUCCAUUUUUUUUUCUCUCCCCUGGAUGAGCUCUCGAUAGGGGGAAAAAAAAGGGCUGAAGAAAGAAAUCGAGGCGGAGAAAAAUUGAAGUCUUUAGGCUCCAUCCUGGCUGGAAUUGCUCAUUCGCUUUUGGUUUUAUCGUAGAUGGUUUGUAGAAGGAGGCUCUUGAAUCGAAUGCCCUAAUCUAUGAUGUUAACGUCGAGACCCCUUUUGUACCCUAAUUUCCCCGUGCUUGUAACAUCAUCAAGCCCUAGCUUUGGCUGCAAAAGCUGGCAUUUUCCGCGCUGCAAAUCCCCCACGAGUUUCAGACUACACGCACAAAACGGCGGCAAUGAUCUGGGAAAUGGUCUCGGUGGGAAAGACGAAGUACGAGGGGGAAACGAACCGAUCAGUAACGGGAAUGGCUCGAGGAAAGAGGGAUGGCUAGGGUUCAAUCUCCGGUGGGGCGAUCUCUUGAAUCCGGAUCCGGACAAUUUCGUGGCCAUCGGACUAGCCGGAGUGCUGACAUGGGCGAGCGUUCAGGUCCUGUCUCAGCUCCUCUUCAUCUCUCUCGCCAUUCUUGUUGCUGCUCUCAAGUACUCCUUCAUUGCCGCCCUCCUCAUUUUCAUCCUCAUCACCCUCCUCUAAGGCCUGCCAUUCUAUGCUCUAUGGGUAUUGUACAUUUCCAUUAACAUGGUUAUUCAAGAUUUUUAGACUAUUUGCAUUCAAAUCUGAAACUAUUAGACUGUAUGUUUCAUUAUCCCAGCUGGUACGUAUGGGAUCGGGUCAAUGAAUUCAAACUCGUGAGACCCUGUCAGUCAA